CUCGCCGUGUGCAUGCGCACUUUGGGGACGUAGUCGUCACUGGCGUGAAUGUCUUUAUCUUAGCACGUUUGCGGCCCGGCGAGAGGCGGAAGUGGUGACGUAAUUCUCAGGUAAAGAAGAUGCCAGCCAAGCAUUUUGUAUCCAGUGAAACUGACUUUGAAGUGAAAAAAGCCAGGGAAUCUUCAGCUUUUUCUGAAAGAUCUGUCAGAGUUUGAGCUUCAGAUAGCCUAAUGACCAGAGGGACAUCGACAGAAGGACUGGUGAGCAUUAAAAUUCUAUAAACCUGAAGAGUAAGCUUUAAAAAAAAUCGUCAGAGGAAAGGAAUUUGUAGAAAUAAAACUGGAAACAUCGAGAAUCUUGAUGGUGUGCCAAACCAGAUGUCAACUGGAGCUCGACCAAAACCUAAACAGCCUUUUCUUUGGCUUUCAUAACAAACGUAAUUGUGAGGAAAUCUAUUCUCUUCUGUUUCUCCACAUUCCUCACCAAGUGCUCUCUGGCAAACGAAGCAAAGAGAGAGCAGAUUCCAUAUAGAGUACACCUAUAUGGAAACAACUGCCUAGAAGAUGAGUCUUCCUGACAAUCAUGAAAGGUAGCCAUUUUUAUUUGUAUGGCUUCCAUAUUUGGAAAUGUUCUGUGUAAAUCAGUAUGUUUUGCACCUUACUUUACUUAAUUUCUUAUUUAAAUAACUACAUAAAAUAACAGCUGGCAACUCCCUGAACCACCACU